UCUGGCCUCAAAUCAGGUAGGACUACCCGCUGAACUUAAGCAUAUCAAUAAG
rnacentral:rRNA from 1 species